rnacentral:lncRNA from 1 species
AAAUUCAUAAUUUUUGGGCACUUAAAAAUAUUUUUAAACAAUUAAAAAGAAAUGAAAAAUCAAUUAAUUCAUGAAAAAUAUUAAUAAUAAUCCAAAAAAUAAUUUUAAUUCAGAAUAUGAAAGAGAAAAAUAUUUGAAUUUUUUUUGUGAAAGUCCCGUAUUUUUUGGAUCAAUAUUGAAUUUAAUAUGAAUUAUUGAAGAAAAUGAAAUAAAAAGAAAAAUCAGAAAUUACAAAAAUACGUGGACCGUCAGAUCUCCCUCAUUAACUGAGGUGGCAGAUCUGAU